rnacentral:lncRNA from 1 species
UUUUUUUUUUUUUGAAAUAGGGAUCUAUCUACCAGGGUGGGUAUGAGAAGUAAGAAAAGGGGUGUAAACAUAAAGCCCACAGGGGCCUCACCAUGACGCUGUUCAUGCAUUAGUGAGCACUUAACAAACAAAAAGCAUUGUAAUGGAGUAUUUUUGUCCUUUCAUGGUAAUCCUGUGUCUCAACACUGGCCAACAUCAGAAUCACCUGGAGCAUAAGGUCAAAGGCCCCACUUCAACCCUCCCCAAUCAGAAACGCCAAGGUUGAGGUCCAGGGAUCUGAAUUUUGCCUUAUAGUAAUCUCCCUGUUGUAUGGGAGCCUGGGCUGAGCUAGAUGUUCACUUUUCCAGAAGGUUCCAUAAGGGAUUCUUGCCCUGGGUAGGAGGUAGGUUUAGAGGACCUAGAAGUGUCUUCCAAAUAAUAACCCUCUUACUUGGUUGGUUCUUGAUUGGUAGCUUCUCCUGCAAGCUGAGUAGUAAUCAGUAUACAGAGAAAUAUUCCUUCUGUCCCAUUCCAUAUUGGUUAUCUCCCCAGCUCUUUCUCUGGUAGCCCCAAUAGGGGUAGGCUCUAGUACCAGACAAAAAAUAAGCUUCCUCCAGGGCUCCCUUUCUUCUGACAAACAAGAAGAUCACUUUUAACAACCACAAAGUUUCAUGAAUCACCAGAUGAAAGCUGGUUAUGCUGUCAGUGUCUGUUAACAAAGAACAUUAUUAAACAUACACACGCACACACACAGACUCAAAAAUGAGCAAAACUAUACAUUUAAGACACUUUCAAAUAAAUGUGGUAUUUUAUUAAUCACAAAGCAUACACAUGCAUCUGAAAAGUAGUAGUGCAUUAUUUAUUUAGUCUGAAGUAAGAUUUUGGACUUGAGACUAUGUGUACCCUUUAAAAAAAAUUUCCCUGGGGGGGGGUUCAUUGCCCAAAGAUUCAGAAACAGCAUGUGCCACCCUGUCAGGGUCAAAGCCCAGUGGCUCAUCCACCUGUACUCACUUGCUCCUGAAUAGUAAGUAUCACUAGAAGAAUUCGAUUCUGGAAUAGCAAUGUUUGAAAUGAGCCACCAGUGAGUAGCCAAAGGGCCAGAAAGGACUCCCUGUAAGGUUCUAUCUGCAAAGCCUUCCCCAGGCACCCUGGUUUGAAAUGGCUCCUUCCUCUGAACUACUGCACCCAACCCUGCUGAAUCUGAUUCUGCCGGUCUGAGGAGGGCAGGUGCCAUCAGCUUCUUGUUUUCUGUAGAAUUCAUUUGUGACCAUAAAAGUGACGAACAUCUGUAUGUGAACUGUUACUACAGAGCAGAUGUUGAUUUGAACCUUAAGUCUCUUCAGACAGCUGCAUUCUUUCCUUCUGCCUCUUCUAUAGUUCUUAGCACAGUACCCACCUCAAACUGGUGUUCAAUAAACCACAUAUCAAUUUGCUUUGAUGUUACAUAGUGUCUUACCCCAGAAAAUCAACUCCAAACCAUACCUAGGCAGAAAACUCUGAAGUAUAAUGGAAGGAUCUGGAUCUUGAAAUCUACCGCCCCCCCCCCCUUUUUUUUGUGGUCUGUCAAGUUUUGCCACCUCUGAUGGUUAUCUUUUGAAGAGGUGCAAGUAGAUGAAGUCACCCCAAUG